ensembl:lncRNA
CACAUCUUUAUUAAUCAAAAUAGGAACCAUUACAAUCAACACAUUUCUGCCAACGAGAAACAAGUUUGUUUAUUCCCAUGGCAUAAAAAUCGGUGCUUCAGAUUCGACGAACUCUUACAAAGCAUUUUCUGCCUUCUGUUGGUUGUGAAAGCAUUCUCCCUGCAAAAAGCUGUCAAGACCCUUGAAGAACUGGUAGCUGGUUGGUGAGAGAUCAGGUGAAUAUGGUGGAUGAGGCAAAACUUUGCAGCCCAGUUCAUUCAACUUUUGAAGCGCUGAUUUUGUGACGUGCAGUCGAGUGUUGUUGUGCAGCACGGGGCCCUUUCUGCUGAGCAAUGCCAGCUGCAGGCAUUGCAGUUUUCAGGCAUCUCAUCAAUUUGCUGAGCAUACUUCUCAGAUGUGAUGGUUUCACCAAGACUCAAAAAGCUGGAGUGGAUAAGAUGGGCCACAAGCCAUUGAACAUUGACCGUGACCGUUUUUGGAAGUGCUUUAGAGCUUCUUCUCAGUCCAACCACUGAGCUGGUCAUCACCGGUUGUCAUAUCAAAUCCAUUUUUUGUCGCACGUCACAACCUGAUCAUGAAAUGGUUCAUUGUUGUUGGGUAGAGUAAGAGAAGAUGACAUUUCCAAACAACGAUUUUUCUGGUUUGUGGUCAGCUCAUGAGGCACCCGCUUAUCCAGCUUUCACCUUUCCAAUUUGCUUCAAAUGCUGAAUGACCAGAGAAUGGUUGACAUUGAGUUCUUCGGCAACUUCUCAUGUAGUUGUAAAAGGAUCAGCUUCUAUAACCUCUCAAUUGGUCAUUGUCAACUUCUGAGGGCCAGCCCCUGCACGCCUCAGCUUCAAGGCUCUCAUCUCUUUUGUGAAACGUCUUGAACCACUACUGCACUGUACGUUUGUUAGGAGUUCCUGGGCCAAAUGCAUUGUUGAUGUUGCAAGUAGUCUCUGCUGCUUUACCAUUUUGAACUCAAAUAAGAAAAUUGCUCAAAUUUGCUCUCUAAUACCAUUUCCCUAGUCUAAAAUAAAUAUAAAAUAAAUAGCAAGUAAUGUCACUAGCAAAAAAAAAAAAUGAGAAAUGUGCAUUAAAAUGAUAUAUAACAUAACUACAUUUAUUUAAGAAUAUAUUCCAAUAUCAAACAGCAACGUUCAACAAUGUAAAACCUCAAUUACUUUUGCACCAACCUAUUAGAAGACUAUAAUCAGAUUGAUUAUAUUCUUUGCAGCCAAAGAUGGAGAACCUCUAUACAGUCAGCAAAAACAAGACCAGGAGCUGACUGUGGCUCAGAUCAUGAACUCCUUAUUGCCAAAUUCAGACUUAAAUUUAAGAAAGUAGGGAAAACCACUAGACCAUUCAGGUAUGACCUAAAUCAAACCCCUUGUGAUUAUACAGUGGAAGUGAGAAAUAGAUUUAAGGGACUAGAUCUGAUAGAGUGCCUGAUGAACUAUGGAUGGAGGUUCAGGUUCGUGACAUUGUACAGGAGACAGGGAUUAAGACCAUCCCCAUGGAAAAGAAAUGCAAAAAAACAAAAUGGCUGUCUGAGGAGGCCUUACAAAUAGCUGUGAAAAGAAGAGAAGCGAAAAGCAAAGGAGAAAAGGAAAGAUAUAAACAUCUGAAUGCAGAGUUCCAAAGAAUAGCAAGGAGAGAUAAGAAAGGCUUCCUCAGCGAUCAAUACAAAGAAAUAGAGGAAAACAACAGAAUGGGAAAGACUAGAGAUCUCGUCAAGAAAAUUAGAGAUACUAAGGGAACAUUUCAUGCAAAGAUGGGCUCGAUAAAGGACAGAAAUGGUAUGGACCUAACAGAAGCAGAAGAUAUUAAGAAGAGGUGGCAAGAAUACACAGAAGAACUGUACAUAAAAGAGCUUCACGACCCAGAU